CCCUUAGAUGUUCUGGGCCGCACGCGCGCUACAUUGUUUGAUUCAGCGAGUCUUAACCUUGACCGAAAGGUUUGGGUAAUCUUCUAAAGUCAAACGUGAUGGGGAUCGAUCAUUGCAAUUAUUGAUCGUGAACGAGGAAUUCCUAGUAAAUGCAAGUCAUCAGCUUGCGUUGAUUACGUCCCUGCCCUUUGUACACACCGCCCGUCGCUACUACCGAUUGAAUGGUUUAGUGAGAUCUCCGGAUUGGCUCUGUAGGUCCCGCAAGGGAUUUAUUAGUAGCCAAGAAGCUGCUCAAACUUGAUCAUUUAGAGGAAGUAAAAGUCGUAACA
rnacentral:rRNA from 1 species